UCUUGUAGGAAUUUAAUUUUGGUUCCGAUUGAACGUUUUUCAGUAGUUUAAGACAUGCAAAUCGUUUGUACAUGAAAUCGAUAAUAAAAUAAGUCUUAAGCCCUCGCCUCUCCUCUAACAAGGGUCUGGAUGGGGUGAUUUAAUUUAUUAUUAUUAUAUUAUUAUAAUUUACGAUAUAAAUGUACAAGGUGUAGGGGUGAGUAUUGUAAAUGAGAUGCCCUUGUAGACUUCAGAAAUAGAAGAUAGUACUUUUCAUUAUGGUCAUAAAAAAGAAAGCUGAUUACUCAUUGAUACUCAGUAAAAACUUAUUUAUCAAAGUAAUGAUACUCUUAAGGAUAACAAAGAUAUCUUAACAGGGUAAUAUUUAUAUAAAGGACAAAACAAAAAGGUAAGCUUUAAAGAAAAAAAGGGAAAUUUUCCGCAACAGGGAUUCAAUUUACAUUCGAUUAGGUAGUUGGAAGGGUAGAAGCCUCCCAAGCCGGCGAUCGAUAGUCAUGUUUGACAGAACAAAUGACCACAUUGGGAAUGAAAUCUCCCAAGUAGCGUUUUUGCUACCAGCAGUCAAGAAUAUUAGUCAAUGCUCGCAAGAGUGAACUAGCUAACUGAAAUCCUUGGUGUGCCAUCGAGGAUAACGUAAGGGAAAAGAUCAUAACCACGGGAGCCUUCCCCUCCUCUUUAGAUCGAAAGGUUUAGAGGGUAGAUGUUGGUGUGGUUUAUGAGGUGAUAUUACCUUACUAUUAGUGUCGUCCAAGUGCUCGUGCCAGAAGACUCGGUAAGGCGAGAGACGCAAACGUUAUUCGUCUUGAACAGGCGUAAAGGGUAAGUAGGCGGCUUUAAGCAUCUAAUUUUAAGUUUUACUGUUUUAAUGCUAAAUUAUAUACCUACUCUAGAAGUUAGGAUAGGUUUUCUUUUCAAUGAUAAAGAAUCAUACCACUCCACUCCCAACCACUCCUUCGUAAGAAAGAUGUAAUGGGUUGUGGUCUGGCUAUGAAAAUAACCUAUUAAUUUAGUAUUUUAAUAUUUAUUAAAGGAUCAAUUAAAGCUAGAAUCUAAAAGAGGUUAAAACAAUACUUAAGGUAGGUGUACCAACCAUAAAUAAUAAGCAGAGUAUUAAGGGCGAAGGCAUUUAUCCACUGAAGAUUGACGCUGAGGAACGAAGGUGAGGACAGAAAAAAGGAUUAGAGACCCUUGUAUCCCUCACUGUCAACGAUGAAUGGUAGUUACUAGAUAGAAAUAAUCUAGAGGCGAUGUUAACACGAAAACCAUUCCGCCUUGUGAGUACGACUGCAAAGUUGAAAACAAAAAAAUUAGUCGGUUUCGGAGCAAACGAAGUGAAGCAUGUUAUUUAAUGCGAUAAUCCGCGUAAAACCUUACCAGUUCUUGUAUAAAAACUUUAAACAAUACUAGUUAUUAAUUAAUUAGUAAAGUAACCUUUUUAAGGUAAAGGAGUUGGGUUCUCUAUACCCUUUAGGGUUAGAUAGCUUAAACUUAAUACAGGUGUUGCAUGGCUGUCUUCAGUCCGUAUUGUGAAAAGUUAGGUUAAAUCCGUUAACGGACGCAAUCCCUAUUGUUAAUUUUUACUUAACAAUUAAUGAUUCUGAUAAAGUAUCAUUUGGGGCUAAGACAAGCCCUUAUGGCCCUCAUGAACUGGGCUAUAGACGUGCUAUAAAGAUUUUCACAAAGUGACGCAAAACUUCUCUACCCUCCCUUCAAAACCCCUACCCUUUAAUCUAUAAUCUACAUCUCCUACCCCUUUAAAAAGGAUAGGAUAAUAGAAAUGGAAGCAGGAAAUAGGGUAGCAUCAAUGGAUGUUGGGGCUUUAUUAAAUAGAGCCUGUAUUGUUGGGAGUAGUUUUAUUUACAAUUUAAAUUGAUUAAUAAAUUAAAUACAAAAUGAAUUUAAUAGGAUUUAUUUGUGUUUUUCUACCUUGUCCAAAAAGGCUACGCAGCUUAAUUGGAGAUUCUUUAUUAAUAUUUACUUACAAUCUUCUCUAUUAAAUAGAAAGAAUGGAGUAUUUAAACAAUUUAAAUAUGUAUAUUAAUUAUAUCUUACAGGUAUGGAGUUAAUUAAUUAAAUAAAACCCACAGAGAUUAAGGAAGAGCUAAUCAUUAAAAAAAGUCAAAAUAUUAAAUUAACGUUACAGAUUGUCACCUGAAACUUGGUGGCAUGAAGGAGGAAUUUCGAGUAAUCGUUGAUCAUUAAGCGCAACGGUGAAGCAAGAAUCCGGGAUGAACUAACCGUCUGUCGCUGGGAAGAAGUUUAUUUUGGUGGAAAAUAUAUCGAGAUUAUAAUUUUAUAGCUCUUACUCUUUUUAUCCUAUUAAAGCAGGUAGAGAGAAGAGGAGCGAGAAAAAGCUUUAUUUUUAAAUAUUGUUUUAAAUUUAAAAUAGUUUCAAUAUUAAUUAUAUUCAGGUCUAUUUAAGCCAUUUGAGCAACAUCUCAAAAGUCAUAGCAAGGUAGUUGUACUGGAAGGUGCAGCUGGAAAUUUAAACAC
rnacentral:rRNA from 1 species